ensembl:snRNA U5 U5 spliceosomal RNA
UGACUCUGGUUUCUCUUCAUUACGCACAAGCCUUUCGCCUUUUACUAAAGACUUCCGUGGAGAAGAACACUUACGAGUUCAACAUAUUUUUUGGAGGUGCUUUGCUCGGUAUCU